rnacentral:misc_RNA from 1 species
UCCGGUUUGUCACCGGCAGUCCCAUUAGAGUGCCCAACUUAAUGUGGCAACUAAUGGCAAGGGUUGCGCUCGUUGCGGGACUUAACCCAACAUCUCACGACACGAGCUGACGUCAGCCAUGCAGCACCUGUGUUCCCGCCAGCCGAACUGAAGGGUCUCAUCUCUGAAACCCAUACGGGACAUGUCAAGGGCUGGUAAGGUUCUGCGCGUUGCUUCGAAUUGAACCACAUGCUCCACCGCUUGUGCGGGCCCCCGUCAAUUUCUUUGAGUUUUAAUCUUGCGACCGUACUCCCCAGGCGGCGUGCUUAAAGCGUUAGCGGCGACACCGAAGGGCAAGCCCCCCGACGUCUGGCACGCAUCGUUUACGGCGUGGACUAC